rnacentral:lncRNA from 1 species
CUCAAUGGAUCUUCAUCUCCACGCUUCAAAUCAAGGGUGUGUUUGAUAAUUUCCGCUCUUCCGUCCAAUCCAUCUGCCUCAUUGAUUCGAUUCAGUAUUCUUCACUCAAAAGCUUUCAUGAUACAGGUCCACUCUGAUUGAAUCAUAACUUGGUCUUAAAAGUUGGAGUUCAUAUCAAGGCUUCAAAUCAAGAUCUGAUUUUUGCAAUCUCCUUAUUGCCCUUUGGUUCAAGCAAAUCCAUUCGAAAGGAUCCAAA